rnacentral:lncRNA from 1 species
AUCGUCUUCAACCUCCUUCUCCUCCUUCACGACGAAGAACAACAACAGAGAAGCCAUGGAAGCUUCAUCAAGCUUCACGGCCAAACAACAACAACAUCAAAACUUCGUCAAAAAUUACAAAUGAGUAUAUGAUUUUGCUUGAAAUUUUGCAUAGAUCAUGAAUAUAAACUUAGAUUUUUCAAUAGAUGUUUAUAUCUCAAAAAAAAAGUUCGAAACUUUAAAACCCCCAAAAUUUUGAAAACCUACAUUUGUGCGAUUUAAGCAAAAUUAAAGGUUGUAAAAGCUUCAUAUGAUAUUCAGGAGUAAAAAGUGUUCAGAAUCUUACUGGUUUCGAGCUUUGUUUUGGUGGGUUAACACCUACACUUUUCUUUGCUAUUUUGAACUUUGAGUAAGCCCCUCUUGACGGUUUUCCUUCGUUUUUCUUGUGGGUUCAAGCUUAGGUAGGUUCUUGGAGUGAUUUGGGUGAAGAAAAUUGAAGGUUGGAAGUGGUUUUAAUGGAUUUCGAACUUGUUGGAAAAGUGAUGAAAAGAUGAGUUUUUUGGUUUUUCUCUUCUCUGUUUUUCUCCAAAAUCGCCCCCUCAUGCUCUGAAAUGUUACCUCUACUUAUACUAGAAAAUUAGGGUUUCAGGUGAAUCAAAAGACAAAAUUGAGAGUUAGAGAGAUUGUGACAUGAGGUGUUGAUGCAGUGGUUCAGUUUUUGCAGUAACACCAGAAUGGCAAAGAAAAAAAGGUCAACGAAGAAAGAGGGCAAGACUUGAACUUGGUUUAGACAUAAUUUGAAACUCAUAGCAGGAAGCAGAAC